CAAGCGCAUAAGAGUACGAGGUGGAUGCCCAGGUGCCAAACGCCGAUGAAGGACGCGGAGACCGGCGAAACGUUCAGGGGGAGCUGCAUCCAAGCGAUGAGCCCUGAGAAUCCGAAUGGGGCAACCCAUCCAGAGUGAUGUCUGGAUACCCCUUGCUGAACCCAUAGGCAAGGUGGAGGGCAGUGGGUGAACUGAAACAUCUCAGUAACCCGACGAAAAGAAAUCAACCGAGAUUCCCGUAGUAGUGGCGAGCGAACCGGGA
rnacentral:rRNA from 1 species